GUGUGACAGAAUAGAAACAGAUGGACAUGUGCUAAUUUUUGUGGUUUGGUUUGUUCUGUUUGAGCUCGGUGACAUUAACCAGUGUGAGAGCAGCAGCUGAUCACUAGUUUCUGCUUCUUUACUUCCAUAAAAUUAGGUAUCAGGAAGUCUUGAGUCUUUAACCGUCUGUCAUUAUUCGGUCAGUAUGGAGCUCAGUCAACUUCAUCUUGUGCUCCUGCUGAUUUCAAGCAUCCACUCUGCACACACUGAAGAAAGACCAAAACCCACAGUAACCAUUAAACCUGCUCAACAUGUGCUCAGAGGAGAGACAGUCACUCUCAGAUGUGACAUAUAUAGUGAAGGAGUCACUAGCUGGAGCUACAGCUGGUAUAAAGACGAUUCAAUCAGUGUUUUCAGUUAUCAACAGGAACACACACUCUGUUCUGUUACUGAGUCUGACGCAGGUGAAUACACCUGUUAUGGAUUAAAAGAAUCACGCUGGUCACAAAUGAGUGAUGCAGUUACACUGAGAGUAUCAGGUGAGCUUCAUCAUCUCUUCAUACACACACAAACACACAUUUAACAUGUUAUUAAUGACUGAUUUCUCUAUUUCAGCUCCCAGAGCAGUUUUAAGUGUUUCUUAAGUGGUUAAAAAGUGAUCAGAUAUUUUGGGGGCCAAGCACCA